UACAUUAUUCCUGGAAUUCACAAUGAACCGCUAAUGAGCUAGAGGAGCUAUGAUCUGAUCUUGUCCUGCCUCCUACAGCCCAGGACUGCUGGGUGUGGGACGGGACGCAGGGAGGGGCGCUGUCUGCCGCACCAGCAUCCACACGGCCUGGCCAGGGCACCCCCCAGGACGGGAGGGGUGGGGCAGUGGUGUUUGCUGACCCCUGGGAGCCUGGUGGCCCUCCCUGGGAUGGGAGGGUGUUUAUUAGCCCUCCAAAGGUGGCAGGUCAUAAAGGACCUAAAGACAAGGACUACAGGUGCUUCCUGACAGCAGUGCCGGAAGAGUGUCCUCCCUAGAACCCAACGGUGCUGGCACCCUGUCCUUGGACCCCUAGCCUCCAGAACUGCAAGAAAUAAAUCAUGUGGUUUAUAAGCCCCCAGUCCGUGCUGUUUUGUUACAGCAGCUCAAACAACCAACAGUUAUUGAAAUGUACUACAUGCAGAGGACUGUUUUAAGCAGCUCUCACACAUUACCUCAUUUAAUCCUUACCAUUGUCCUAUCUAAUAGGUACCAUUAUUAUGAUUGUGCCCAUUUUACAGAUGAGGAAACCGAGAGUAGAGACCUUGACCCUUCUGUCCACUGUUGAACUCCAGCACCCAGAAUGAGGAAGAAUGAGGAAGAGGAGGAGGAGGAGUCACAGGGGCGAGGGGCCAGGAGCCCCGCCUCCUCCUGUCACUGACUGCACCGGAGACAACCACGGCACCUCUCCCGCUAGGAUGUCUCUAUUACACCUGACCUCUGCCCUUGGGAGAAAAGCCAGUGUGGGAGCAGGCUGCACGCACACAACUGGGAUGGUUCGAGUAUGGCCCCAAAUGUCCGCGGGCACGAUCAGGGAGCCUGUUUGGGGCCAUUUGCCGCAUGGCUACGGUUGGGAGGCUGGAAGUUUCCUUGAGAGUCAAGUCUCCUUCCAGCCAUCUCUGCCAUUCAGCUUGAGUAUUUUUCCCCCUGGGAAGGAUUUCCCCAUAAAAUAAAUGUCUCGUCUGAAUUAA